rnacentral:lncRNA from 1 species
GAGGGCUGAUACAGUUAAACCACGGAAGGCCUCAGCCUCUUCAGUAUGUAGUCAAUGCUGCCUUCCUUGCUACCUUGUAUGGCGACUAUCUUGCUGCUGCUGACACCCCUGGAUGGUAUUGUGGACCCAAUUUCUAUUCUACUAAUGUCCUACGUGAAUUUGCACAGACACAGGUAAAUGAAACUUUACGAUCUUUAUGUUUGCAAGAAUCUCUUUUCUUAUUUUCUUGUUCCUUUUACCUCAGUUCUGCUAAUAAGUGUGUGAAUUACUGCCUAAAAAUAUGUGUGAUAUGUUAAGUGAUAAAUGCAAAAAAUCAGGAGUAUACGAGAUAUAGAUGGUGUAAGCAUGUUCUUAUUAGCCAACUCUGAUGAAAGUUAAACCGUUUCUGGUGUUAACUCAGUUUUCUUUCUUUGACUUUUAGAUUAACUACAUCCUUGGCAAGAACCCUAGGAAGAUGAGUUAUGUUGUGGGCUUCGGCAAUCACUAUCCAAAACGUGUCCACCACAGAGGUGCAUCAAUUCCUAAAAACAAGGUCACGUAUAAUUGUAAAGGAGGAUGGAAGUGGAGGGAUUCAAGUAAGAAUAAUCCGUAUACUCUUGUUGGAGCCAUGGUUGCUGGACCGGACAAGAAUGAUGGUUUCCAUGAUGUUCGUACUAAUUACAAUUAUACUGAGCCAACACUUGCUGGAAAUGCCGGUUUAGUUGCAGCCCUUGUAGCUCUAUCUGGAGAUAAAAGUGUUGGAAUUGACAAGAACACAAUAUUCUCUGCAGUACCACCAAUGUUCCCCACUCCACCACCUCCGCCAGCUGCGUGGAGACCAUGAUUUGUUGAUCGUUAGUUUUAUCAACUCC